AUCUAUGUAAAGGCUUGCAGGAGAACACACGAUCUCUCCUCACUGCCUGAGAGCCAAUGAGUGCAGCGGAUGGGUAACUAGGGGAUGCGGAGGGAGAGAUGAAAAUGUCUCUGAACAUUCCACAGCAAAUAGAGCAAAGUUCUUGUCAUUCAGUGGAGAGGCAUGAGCCUGAAAGCUAUGACAGUGAUGAAACUCUCAUAGAUGGUUACAUUUCUGGAAAUGAUGAUAAAGAAGAUGCAUAUCCCAAUAGGUUAUGUUAUAAGGACGACGGUUUGCUGACACCAAAAACAGGUUUUAAUGCAAAAGAUGUUGAACAUUUAUCACUACCCACCUAUGACGUGAGUAAUUCAUAUACAUUUCUGUAAUACUCCAUCAUUAUUAAGACGUUAUUAAAGGAACAGUUCA